AGUAACACGUGAGUAUCUGCCUUUGGGAAGGGGACAACAGUUAGAAAUGACUGCUAAUACCCUAUGUGCUGGUUACAGUAAACGGAUUUCCGCCCAAAGAAGAGCUCGCGCCUGAUUAGCUAGUUGGUAAGGUAAUAGCUUACCAAGGCGAUGAUCAGUAGUUGGUCUGAGAGGAUGAUCAGCCACACUGGAACUGAGACACGGUCCAGACUCCUACGGGAGGCAGCAGUGGGGAAUUUUGGACAAUGGGGGCAACCCUGAUCCAGCCAUUCCGCGUGAGUGAAGAAGGCCUUCGGGUUGUAAAGCUCUUUCGCAAGAGAAGAAAACUUACUAUCUAAUAAAUAGUAAGUAUGACGGUAUCUUGACAAGAAGCACCGGCUAACUACGUGCCAGCAGCCGCGGUAAUACGUAGGGCGCAAGCGUUGUCCGGAAUUAUUGGGCGUAAAGAGCUCGUAGGCGGUUUGUCGCGUCUGCUGUGAAAAUCCGAGGCUCAACCUCGGACCUGCAGUGGGUACGGGCAAACUAGAGUGCGGUAGGGGAGAUUGGAAUUCCUGGUGUAGCGGUGGAAUGCGCAGAUAUCAGGAGGAACACCAAUGGCGAAGGCAGAUCUCUGGGCCGUAACUGACGCUGAGGAGCGAAAGCGUGGGGAGCGAACAGGAUUAGAUACCCUGGUAGUCCACGCCGUAAACGAUGGACACUAGUUGUUGGAAUUAUUCAGUGACUAAGCGAAAGUGAUAAGUGUCCCACCUGGGGAGUACGAUCGCAAGAUUGAAACUCAAAGGAAUUGACGGGGGCCCGCACAAGCGGUGGAGCAUGUGGUUUAA
rnacentral:rRNA from 1 species